UUUCCGUAGGUGAACCUGCGGAAGGAUCAUUAACCUUUCAAAUCAGGGUGCUGCGCGGCCCCCGAGGAGCGGAAACAAUCCUUGGGAGGUAUGCGGGGGCUUCGAGCCCCCCAUUUACGCACGCACGACUGCCAUCCUUACUUUACGAGCACCUUCUGUUCUCCCUCGGCGGGGCAACCUGCCGUUGGAACCGAAUAAACUCUUUUUGCAUCUAGCAUUACCUGUUCCGAAACAAACAAUCGUUACAACUUUCAACAAUGGAUCUCUUGGCUCUGGCAUCGAUGAAGAACGCAGC
rnacentral:misc_RNA from 1 species